UGAAAAGCAACACAUGACAGUCUAUGAAGGAAGUAGGUUUACAUAGUGCCACUUCUUCGCCCAUUUUGGACAUAGGUGUUGUUUACAGUAUCGAUAAUACCUCGCCAGUGAGUUUAUCUCUGAGGUCAAUUAUUAGCUAACUGCGGGAAUUAACAGAGGGGUGAAAGAGCACUCGUGAAUGUGUCCGAAUAACUCUCAAACUGGUGAAAGAGACUGUGAUAUAUUCAACUGAAAUUGGAAAUACUUGCAUUAUCUGUAAUGGACCCAUUUGACGCCAUGUCUCCGCGCAAGGUUCUGGAGCGCGUCUCUACUCUGCUGGGAUGCAGCCAGACAUCGAAUGAAGUAGCCACAUAUCUGGACAAUCACGACGAACUAAAGCAUCUACGUGAACAGUUUCUAUUACCCAAAGUUGCAGAACUCCCUCCUUCUGACCUUACGCUUGUGGAUGGCACCAAGGAAUGCAUUUACUUUGUGGGGAACUCACUUGGCCUCCAGCCCAAAAUGGCCAAGAAGUACAUCGACGAGGAGCUGGAUAAAUGGGCUAAAACGGGGGUUCAUGGCCAUGUACAAGGCUCUCGACCUUGGGCCUGGGCGGAGAACAAUAUAGAGGGACUCAUGGCUAAUGUGGUUGAGUCCAAAGUACAACCAAACCAAACAACUGAAGGCCAUUGUGCAAUCACCUCAGAUGCCUUUUUGUGUGGAAAAUGCACAUUGGAAAAUGGGCUAAAGCUGAGGAGGUUGCCUUGAUGAACGGGUUAACAGUUAAUCUGCAUAUUCUGUUGCUGUCUUUUUACAAACCUACAGCAAAACGUCACAAAAUCCUUCUUGAGGACAAGGCUUUCCCCUCAGACCAUUAUGCUGUGGAAUCUCAGAUCCAGUUGAAAGGUUACGACCCUAAGCAGAGCAUGCUGCUCAUGAAACCCAGACCGGGCGAGGAGGUGCUGAGAACUGAGGACAUUCUGGACACGAUAGAAAAGGAGGGAGAUUCCAUUGCGGUGGUCCUGUUCAGUGGAGUGCAGUACUACACCGGGCAGCUCUUUGAUAUGGCCGCCAUCACUAAAGCAGGGCAGAAGAAGGUUAAAGGACAACUUUAGAACCAAUCCUCUGUCUUUUUCUCGCCUGCAGGCUGCUACGUUGGUUUCGACUGUGCACACGCAGUGGGCAAUGCAGAGCUGAAGCUGCAUGACUGGGGAGUGGACUUUGCCUGCUGGUGUUCCUACAAGGUCAGCAUUGGGGUUUGUGUGGCGAAACCAAAGCAAAUGAACUGCUGACAGUGGCUUCACUCUGUUUCCUGUCCAACACCUGCUGACACAGGAAGACAACAAUAUGUGGGGUGGCAAUGUACUCGUUCGAGCUUAAUAUUGCCAACAAUGAUUUUCUUGCCGUUGUUAUCGAUGUCCAUUUCAAAUAAUGUAGAUUAUCAUUGGUCUUCAACAUUGUAGAAAAUAGGCAGACAAACUAUGUAAUGUGUUGGUAAGAGUUAUUGUUGUAUUCACGUGUAGUAUGUGAAUUCUGGAGCUGGUGGUCUGGCUGGAGCUUUUAUCCAUGAGAAGAAUGCACUUACAGUCAAGCCUGCGUGAGUGUGACGGUGCAGUACAGCUCAGAUUUGUGUUCCUAUUGCGUGUUUGACUAUGGUGUGUGUUUUAACUGCUCGUUACUUUCUCUCUCAGGCUCACGGGAUGGUGGGGACAUAACUUGAAAACAAGGUUCCGCAUGGAUAAUGGUAUCAACCUGUUUGUGAUCAUGUUCUCAUUCUAGUCCCUGUACUGGGGACACAUUGCAGAAUGUUGCUUCGAGUUGGCCCUGUCGGUCUCUAAGCAGAGAUACCCAAGAAGCUUGAUUUACACUGACAUCUUGUGGUCAUUUUUGGGUAUUACAGAAAAUAGGUUCUACUGUGUUCAUUUCGCCGUUUGUCAAGCCAGAACCCAAAUGAGUUCAUCACGAACAUCCUACAUUUUUUCUGAACAUCUUACAUUGUUUUCUGACCAUAGAAAUGGAUCUACUACCUGGUAUAAGUGGCUUUCGGCUAUCAAACCAACCCAUCCUGCUGGUGUGUCCACUGCAAGCUAGUUUAGAGGUCUUUGCUAUGACCAGUAUGGCAGCUCUGAGGAACAAGUCCAGACUUCUGACGGGUUACUUGGAGUGUCUGAUCCAGCACUACUACAACAAGGACGAGUCCCAGCCUCACAAGCCCUACGUCCAUAUCAUCACUCCCUCCCACCCUGAGGAACGAGGCUGCCAACUCUCCCUCUCUUUCUCUGUCCCCAUCGCAGCCAUAUUCCAGGAGCUGGAGAAGAGGGGUGUCGCUUGUGACAUGAGGGAACCCAACGUUCUGCGCAUCGCUCCGGUGCCGCUCUACAACUCCUUUAGCGACGUGCACCGCUUCAUCACUGUUCUAGGAUCAGCUUUGGCUGCCAGCAAAGAACUACAACAAUGAUAGAAACAGUCUUUUAUUGUUACCCCACCUUUCAGAGUAUUUUUGACAGUGCUGUAUGUAAACAAUAUGUUUUUAUCGACUGUGCUGGAGUCACUGACAGGUCUUCUGAACUACUGUCCCAAAGAAUUGCAAUAUGUUUUGCCUAGGCUACUCAGUAAAACAAAAUUGGUUGGAAUUGUAUUCCUACUCAAAAUUUAUUGAGACAAGUUUUUUGCUAUACAAUGUCAAAUAAAAGCAAAUAGUCAAUUACUGUGAAUCUCAAUUCAA